CACGUACUUUACAGUCGGGUGCUUUUGGUUUCUCAUGGUUCAAUUUUAUAUGAAGAAGUCUGGGCAUAGUUAUUCCCACGGGCGCGGUGCAGGUGGCCAUUUGGUUGGUAAUCGUCAACUUGUGCCACCCUUUGCGUAUUGUUAACGCAUUCAUUAAAAGUUUUAAAGGGAACCAGUACAUUACACCUGUACACACAAAUUGUGUACAUUGUUGAUAAACGGGGGAGUGUUCGUUACAAAGUUGAUAAACCUGCUGGAAAUAGUGUGGAUGUCGUCCUUAUUUUAGAGCCAAGAAAUGUCCAGCCUUGUACAUGUUGGGUGACUGAUGUAAUGCAAGUUGACAUCACAAUCUUCUGAUCACUUUGACCUCGAAUAUUGUGAAAUAUUCAUAAUGUCUACAGAAACUACCUCAAAAAUCCCCACUCAUCAACCGUCUAAACGAAGCCGUGCCCCACCACCCCCAACAAAGAAACCAUCCUUUGAGGAAAACAAAAAUGGAUCCCUAUCUGAACAGGAGAAAGAUGUGUUAAAGAAGAAUGGGAGCCUUGAGGAUGCUGGAGGUACAUCAUCAGGAGAUGAGAGGCAGCUGUCGGUGGUACUACCAUCGGAGAAAAUAGUCAAGGCAUCCGUCAAGAAAGACACACCCAUCUUGGAACUUCUCAUCAUGAUUGCAUCCAAAAACAAACUGAACCCAACCAAUCACACCAUUGCCCAACCAGCUGCAAGACCUAAGGAUCCACCUGUACAGCUCAAACCCACUCAGAAGUUGUCAGAUGUUGUCGGCGACACUGUAUACAUCAUCCGCAGAAACCAGAAGCAGGUCUUUGUAUACAAGAAAGACGAAAAAAAGUCUGCAGUGUACGAGCCCACUACUCGCAUCACUGUCAUCUCGGGUAAGAACCACAAGAUGUGUCUACGUGUAGAUCCUGAAAAGACGCUACAAGAAUUGUUGCCUGUAAUAUGUGAUGAGCGGGGAGUGGAAACGAGUUGUCAUACUCUCCGACUCACAUCUCAACCUCAGGAAUCUCUGGAUAUGAGCCAAACUCUGGAGAAAACGGGAGCCAUUGAGUUUCUUCUGGUUGACUUAAAAGGCCAGCCUGCAGGUUACGAAGGAGGAGAGGUGGAAUUGAUGCCAGAGCAGAGAAAGAAGAAGGGAAGCAUCUUUGGAAAAUUCUCGAAGAAGAAGAAAGGAUAUGCAUUAGGUGGAGGUGAGUUUCAAGAAGACCCAGCAUCACAUGUUGCAGCCCCUGCAGAAACACAUCAACGUUCUCGUCGCCACACCUCUCCUUCCGCAUUCCCACCGUUGGAUGGCCAGGCCCAGUCUGCAACUCAAGAAGAUGAGGAAGGCAACAACACCUUAAAGAAACGUCGACCAGCCCCGCCCCCUCCACCAGGGAAACAUCUGACCAGUGCAUCAGAUGAUGAGAAACUUGAUGAAGAAUCUGGUGGUUCCAAUACUCUAAGAAAGAGGCGUGCCCCAGCCCCACCCAGACCACGUUCUCCUCCUAGAAGAACCGUAUCUGUUGGAGCGGAUUCAGCUCAUCAGAUUUCAGCAAAUCUACCUCCUCCUCGUCCAAUAUCUCCUCCAGUGAGAACCAGCAUCAAUGGAGAGACGCACCUUGUCAGAGAGACUAUCAAAGAAGACAAACCUUCCAGGCCACCCAAACCACCACGUCCCACCUCUAUUAUCAGAGGCACAAGCCUUGAGACUCCACCCCCUACCACUGAACCACCAGAGCCAGUCUUUGUACCUCCACCACCCCCAGACUUGCCCCCCUCCCCAAGUGACCCACAAGAAGAUGUGACUAAGUUAAUAGAGGAGGGGCGACUUAACCAGUCCUUUGAUGAAGACUUGAUGGAUCAGGAAGCUAGGGAAGAAUCACCUAGAGUACAUAGUGAAUCCAUUAGCAGUAGUGUGACAGAGACUGGCAUAGAUGAGGCAUUUGAAGAAGUCAUUGCUAUGGGAGAAGCAGAAAUCGUGGAUAAGAAGGGAGAGCCUUCUGCAGAAUCACCCCGUCAAGAUUCUAUGGGUGUGGAGGUCAUUGUAGCUGGAUUGACCUUGGAAACAAAGGCAGAGAGGCAUGAGGAGGGGGCGGAGCUUAGGGAACCGGAGGAGGAGGCAAAUCCAGAGGAAGAGACAAUAGAUGAGGUGUCAUCGGAGGACAUCAAAGAGAAAGACAAAGACGCUAAAGCCAAGAUGGAAUUGCUUUCUCACAUGAUGAAGAUGAGUCUAGAUGAAGACAGCAAGGAUACAAAUGAUUAUCCUCCUCACACCCAGGCUGAUGACACUCAUGAUAUGCUGGAGGAGAAAUCAGUCCAUGCUCUUGCUUUUGAAGUAACCAGGGAAGCAACGAUAGAUUAUGAGGAUGCAGACAAAUCUGUUGAAGCUCUAGGAGAGGAAACUGAAGAUGUGGCUGAGGUUGAAGAAAGUCAGAAGAAAGUUGAUGAUGAGAAGACAGAGUCUGCACAAAUGACAGUGGAAAAGAAAGAAAAAGUGGAUGAAAGUCCAACGAAAGUUGAAGAUGAAAAGCAAAGUCCAGUAAUAGCACCAGGAGGAGUAGCAAUGCAGAAGUUAAAUGAACAAUAUGCAACACUGCAAGAACAACUAACUGCCUUACAGAAACAGAUGGCUAUGCCUCAACAAGCAGGCAUCAUGGAAAUACAGAUGCAACAACUUCAGCAGCAGAUUCUGCUACAGCAGCAAAUUAUUAGUCAGAUGAUGAUGUCACCUCAGCCAAUGGUAAUGCCUCUUCCAUACCAACAGCCAGUGAUAUCGCCACAGCAACAGAUGAUGCUAACUCCACAACAGAUGAUGUCACCCCAACAACAGAUGAUGUCACAACAAAUGAUUUCUCCACAACAACAAAUGAUGACACAACAAAUGCUGUCACCUCAGCAACAGAUGAUGAUGUCCCCUCAGCAACUCCUGAUGACCCCUCCGAUGAUGUAUCCUCAGGUUUCACCUGUUUCUCAAAACAUCACACAACCAAAAAUGUAUGCACAACAAAUAACAUCUACUGCUACUGUUCAGGCUCAGUCUACUCCCAUCUCAUCAACACUUGAGCUGAAUGUUUCAACAGAGUCUGCUCAAGACGAUGCUUCGCCAAUUCAAGAUGAUGGCUCUCCAUCUAAGGAUGAUGUCUCUCCAUCUAAGGAUGAUGGCUCUCCAUCUGGGGAUGAUGGCUCUCCAUCUAAACAUGAUGAUGUUCCAACCGAAGAUGACCUACCCAUUGUGGAUAAUGUAGUAACCAGUGAAGUGGAUACCAGUGAAGUUCAAGCUGAGCCAAGACCUCUUUCACCUCCAGUGAAAGCAGAUGAAGUGUCUGUAGGUCAUCCAACCUACCAUUUUGCUCGAUCACGAGAUGUUCCUCAAGGUGAAAUCAAAGUUGUCAAAGCAUCCCCACCAAACACUCUGCGAGGUCCUAAACAGCACCAGAGACCAACUCUCUUACAAACACCUGAACCCUCUGAAAAGAAAGAAGAGACUGAACCUGAAACCAAGGACCACUCUAAUAUUGAUGCCAAGACAAAUAACGCUGCAGACGAAGUUCAUGCAGAAGUGGAUGCUAAUCAUAAUCCAACACCAGAAGGCAAUGGCAUUGAAGACAAAGUUGAUGCGUCCAAGACAGAAGACAAAGAUGAUGCAUCCAAGACAGAAGACAAAGUUCAUGCAUCCAAGACAGAAGACAAAGAUGAUGCAUCCAAGACAGAAGACAAAGAUGAUGCAUCCAAGUUAGAAGACAAAGUCCACGCAUCCAAGACAGAAGACAAAGUUCAUGCAUCCAAGACAGAAGACAAGAACGCUUCAGAAGAAACUUCCUCCAUCAGUGCAUUUGCAGUUGCUGAAUCCACUGAGCCAGUGUCUUCCAGUAAACCCAAAUCACCCAAACAAAAGAAAUCAGGCUUCAGUUUAUUUAAAAAGAAAACACCCAAGUAUUCAUACAUCUUGUCUGCGCAGAAGGAGUUCUCAAGAAAGUCUGAGACAGAACGCCAACGUACAACUUCCAAUCCUCCUAAACCGACUGACCUCAAAUCAGAAGGUGGUCAAGGAAACAGAGAUCUUUGGCCAAGGUAAUCCAUGACAUGUAGGAGGUUAUCACCAUGGCAACAGAUGCUUAUUAGUCACCAGGUCGUUUGCCGGGUAUUCCAUGACACACAGGAGGUCAUCACCAUGGAUACGGAUGUCGAUUAGUCACCAGGUAAUUUUUUUUGUAUAUGCAUUUGUGAGACAUGUUUUCUCUGGGAGUCUAUUUUGUAUAACAUUCAGUACUAAUGAAAAUGAUUAUUGGCUCAAUAUUUAAACAAUAACUGUUAAUGUUUCAGAGAAAAGAAAUGACAUUCAUUAUUUUGUAAAUAUGUCAUUAAAAAAGUGGGUGAGAAUGUUAUUGUACUUGAUUGUAAGAGAUGUACUUGAUUAUAAGAGAUGUAAUUUGAUAAUAUGGCAUUAUCCAUUUGAUUAUUUUAGUAGGUUAUGUGACUUUUUAUGUACAUCAACAUUUGAUAAGUGAAGCACCUAUGCAAGCUUGUCAUAAAUACCAUUGACCAACACAUUGGAAGUCCUGAAAUUAUUGUUUGUGUUGACCGCAUAUUUUGAAAGUACAAUGUGACUUCCAUGUAACUGAAUUCCAUUGCCAAAUCUAAUUGCAAAUUAACCUUGCAUGACAACUAGUCAUUACUUUGAAAUUAGUUGUUCACUUAACUGUAUCGACCAAUUUUUGUUUUGCUUUUGGAAAUGAAGUUACUUGAAGAAACAAAAUGUUGUACCCACGCUUUACUGUUUAUAUUUUUUAUUAAAUAAAUAAAGAAAUGUAUUGUUUUUUUGCUGAUAUCUACAAGUAGAUAUUUUAAGUGUACAAGUUCUGUUAUACAUGUAGUUAUACUGUAAGUAGGUUUUGCAAAUAGGCAAAUUUCCAAUUUAUUAACAUAGUAUGUAUUCAUCCUUCUGUGGUCAAAUGUAUUCACAAAUAUACUAUAUCUUUACUGCCCUCAAUCAGCUAGAGCUGUGCCAAAUAUACCAAAUAUUUGAUUAUCAAACAAUUAUCCAAAUAACAUUUUCUUAAUUCAGAUAUUCAAAACAUGUGAGAGGUUGAGGAGAUGAUGCAAAGUCCAUAAUGCUCUUAUGAUUGCAUGAGUUGCGUAGUUUGAUUUUUGUUUUCAAUGAAGCACUUUUGUCCAAAUCCACUUUUGCAUAUGAUUUGGGAGCUCUAAGGAGAAGUCUAGCUCUAAUUUCUUUACAACUGAUAAAAUAUCAGCUGUUCUGCUUCUGCUUCUUGGUCAUGUUUGUAUUACAUGUACUUUAAGAGAUCUUUAUUAAUUUGACAACUGCAAGAGCAAGCAAAUUCCAAAUUAGAAUAUUAAAAUGCUAAAUUAUUCCUAAAUGCACAGCCCUAAAAUCUGCCCAAGGUAGGUAUGUACUGUGUAUAACUAAAAGUGUUAUCUAUAUGAUUUGAGUACUUAAAUCGUGAGAUGUUAAAUGGAAAAAAAAAAAUUUUUUGUAUAUUUUAUUCAAUAUUCAUGCAAUUUUGAUAUUGAAAAUAUUUUAAUUGACUGUUUUUGAGUGGGCACCUGUAUUAAGUAACACAUAGUAACAGACACAAAUUUCAUGACGUCACUGUGACUGGGUCUUAGUUGUUACAUCCAAUUGAAUGUCAGCGUAGUGAAUAGUAACACACAUGUAUGCAUUAAGAGCGCAGACGUGGGCUAAGCCUAAAUGCAACUCCAAAUGCGAUGCCAGAAAAUUUGGUCCAUAGACAUGACUGCCAAACCGAGAGAGAUGUUUGGGAGGGGGAUGGGCACUGUUGAAUAUAGCAAACAUUUCCACACUUAUAUGUAAUACAUGUUUGUUUGCAAGGUUGUACUCGCUUUGUAAUCACAAAACGUUCGGAUUCUAACAGCUUGUUUGUAUAUUUUUGUUGACUUCGGUGAAAGUUAUUGUGAAUACUGUUAUAUUUAAAGAGACUGAUGUACAAAAGUAUUACCAUAUUUACAUUCAUUAAUAUGUAGUUUAAAGGAAUAUAUUAUUUAAUUAUGAUUUUUUGAGUAAGCAGUAUUGUAGGAAGUAGUCAUAAUAUUGAAAUCAAUAGGGGCCUAUAACAUUAUAUACUGACAAUCGUACUUAAAGAUAAUUCCCUCUGCUAUUUUGAGUUUCAUCCUGUAAAAUGAUUUCUUUUCUAAACAGCGGUUUUUCUACGACAUCAGCAAAAAGGUCGGAUCACACUUAGUUAUUGAAUUAUUAGUUAAAAUAUUUCAAACUUUGUAUCCUGACAAUAAUUAUGUGUUCACCCGGAUCACCCCAAAUCAGUAACAAUGAUAUAUGGACCAGGAGUCUGCACGGCAGAUUUUUUUGUGCAAAUAUACAAACCUUUUUCAGAGGAUGUCUAACACCCAAAAAUGGGGGAUUUUCCUUGGUGAAUAUAACAUUACAAGUUGAAUAUUUAUUAGAGAAAAAAAUUACUGAAAAGUAAUGGAAACGCACCGUUAAACCUCAUCAUAAAGUGUCAUUAUUAUAUUGAUACUUUUUAUAUUUU
rnacentral:misc_RNA from 1 species